AUACGGAGGGUGCGAGCGUUAAUCGGAAUUACUGGGCGUAAAGCGUGCGUAGGCGGUUUGCUAAGUCAGAUGUGAAAGCCCCGGGCUUAACCUGGGAACUGCAUCUGAUACUGGCAGACUAGAGUAUGAUAGAGGGGGGUAGAAUUCCUGGUGUAGCGGUGAAAUGCGUAGAUAUCAGGAGGAAUACCAGUGGCGAAGGCGGCCCCCUGGAUCAAUACUGACGCUGAGGUACGAAAGCGUGGGGAGCGAACAGGAUUAGAAACCCGAGUAGUCC
rnacentral:rRNA from 1 species